rnacentral:rRNA from 1 species
ACAUGCAGAGAACUUCAGAGAUGGAUUGGUGCCUUCGGGAACUCUGACACAGGUGCUGCAUGGCUGUCGUCAGCUCGUGUCGUGAGAUGUUGGGUUAAGUCCGUAACGAGCGCAACCCUUGUCCUUAGUUACCAGCACGUUAUGGUGGGCACUCUAAGGAGACUGCCGGUGACAACCGGAGGAAGGUGGGGAGUGACGUCAAGUCAUCAUGGCCCUUACGGCCUGGGCUACACACGUGCUACAAUGGUCGGUACAAAGGGUUGCCAAGCCGCGAGGUGGAGCUAAUCCCAUAAAACCGAUCGUAGUCCGGAUCGCAGUCUGCAACUCGACUGCGUGAAGUCGGAAUCGCUAGUAAUCGUGAAUCAGAAUGUCACGGUGAAUACGUUCCCGGGCCUU